rnacentral:tRNA from 1 species
GGAAUGUGGCUCAGUGGUAGAGUACUUGCCUAGCAUGUAUGAGGCCCUGGGUUCAAUCCCCAGCACCA